GACGAACGCUGGCGGCGUGCUUAACACAUGCAAGUCGAACGGAAAGGCCCUGCUUUUGUGGGGUGCUCGAGUGGCGAACGGGUGAGUAACACGUGAGUAACCUGCCCUUGACUUUGGGAUAACUUCAGGAAACUGGGGCUAAUACCGGAUAGGAGCUCCUGCUGCAUGGUGGGGGUUGGAAAGUUUCGGCGGUUGGGGAUGGACUCGCGGCUUAUCAGCUUGUUGGUGGGGUAGUGGCUUACCAAGGCUUUGACGGGUAGCCGGCCUGAGAGGGUGACCGGCCACAUUGGGACUGAGAUACGGCCCAGACUCCUACGGGAGGCAGCAGUGGGGAAUAUUGCACAAUGGGCGGAAGCCUGAUGCAGCAACGCCGCGUGCGGGAUGACGGCCUUCGGGUUGUAAACCGCUUUCGCCUGUGACGAAGCGUGAGUGACGGUAAUGGGUAAAGAAGCACCGGCUAACUACGUGCCAGCAGCCGCGGUGAUACGUAGGGUGCGAGCGUUGUCCGGAUUUAUUGGGCGUAAAGGGCUCGUAGGUGGUUGAUCGCGUCGGAAGUGUAAUCUUGGGGCUUAACCCUGAGCGUGCUUUCGAUACGGGUUGACUUGAGGAAGGUAGGGGAGAAUGGAAUUCCUGGUGGAGCGGUGGAAUGCGCAGAUAUCAGGAGGAACACCAGUGGCGAAGGCGGUUCUCUGGGCCUUUCCUGACGCUGAGGAGCGAAAGCGUGGGGAGCGAACAGGCUUAGAUACCCUGGUAGUCCACGCUGUAAACGGUGGGUACUAGGUGUGGGGUCCAUUCCACGGGUUCCGUGCCGUAGCUAACGCUUUAAGUACCCCGCCUGGGGAGUACGGCCGCAAGGCUAAAACUCAAAGGAAUUGACGGGGCCCCGCACAAGCGGCGGAGCAUGCGGAUUAAUUCGAUGCAACGCGUAGAACCUUACCUGGGUUUGACAUGGAUCGGGAGCGCUCAGAGAUGGGUGUGCCUCUUUUGGGGUCGGUUCACAGGUGGUGCAUGGCUGUCGUCAGCUCGUGUCGUGAGAUGCUGGGUUAAGUCCCGCAACGAGCGCAACCCUUGUUCACUGUUGCCAGCACGUUAUGGUGGGGACUCAGUGGAGACCGCCGGGGUCAACUCGGAGGAAGGUGGGGAUGACGUCAAGUCAUCAUGCCCCUUAUGUCCAGGGCUUCACGCAUGCUACAAUGGCUGGUACAGAGAGUGGCGAGCCUGUGAGGGUGAGCGAAUCUCGGAAAGCCGGUCUCAGUUCGGAUUGGGGUCUGCAACUCGACCUCAUGAAGUCGGAGUCGCUAGUAAUCGCAGAUCAGCAACGCUGCGGUGAAUACGUUCCCGGG
rnacentral:rRNA from 1 species